rnacentral:rRNA from 1 species
AUUGAACGCUGGCGGCAGGCCUAACACAUGCAAGUCGAACGAGUGGCGGACGGGUGAGUAAUGUCUGGGAAACUGCCCGCUGGAGGGGGAUAACUACUGGAAACGGUAGCUAAUACCGCAUACCAUCGGAUGUGCCCAGAUGGGCUUAGCUAGUAGGUGGGGUAACGGCUCACCUAGGCGACGAUGCCUAGCUGGUCUGAGAGGAUGACCAGCCACACUGGAACGGAGACACGGUCCAGGCCCCUGCGUGAGGCAGCAGUAGGGAAGAUUACACAAUGGGCGCAAGCCUGAUGCAGCCAUGCCGCGUGUAUGAAGAAGGCCUUCGGGUUGUAAAGUACUUUCAGCGGGGAGGCGUUACCCGCAGAAGAAGCACCGGCUAACUCCGUGCCAGCAGCCGCGGUAAUUC